AUCCAGCUGACGAGUUCCAGAUGCGACGAAAUGCGCGUCUUGGAU
rnacentral:hammerhead_ribozyme from 1 species